rnacentral:rRNA from 1 species
CUUGGUCAUUUAGAGGAAGUAAAGUCGUAACAAGGUUUCCGUAGGUGAACCUGCGGAAGGAUCAUUACCAGUUAGGGUUCGUCCAACGAGCCCGACCUCCCAACCCUUUGUCUAUUUUCCUUGUCGUUGCUUCGGCGGACCGGUCGCGACCAACUGGCCGUGGCCGCGGGGGGUCCACCCCCUGGAGAGCGUCCGCCGAUGGCCCAACCACAAACUUUGUACCAAACCAUGUCGUCUGAAUUACUUGAUUAAAAUCAAAAAAACAAACUUUCAACAACGGAUCUCUUGGUUCUGGCAUCGAUGAAGAACGCAGCAAAUGCGAUAAGUAAUGCGAAUUGCAGAAUUUCCGUGAGUCAUCGAAUCUUGAACGCACAUUGCGCCCACUGGUAUUCCGGUGGGCAUGCCUGUUCGACGUCAUUAUCCUCCCUCAAACCUCGGGUUUGGUGUUGGACCCGAGUUGUUGAACAACUGGUCUCAAAGACAAUGACGGCGUCCGUGGGACCCUCGGUGAACGAGCUUUUAAACGAGCACGCGUCGAGUUUCAAGGACCUUCCGGGCCGUCUCCUUCUUUUAUUUACAAAGGUUGACCUCGGAUCAGGUAGGAAUACCGCUGAACUUAAGCAUAUCAAUAAGCGGAGGA